GGCAGCAGUGGGGAAUAUUGCACAAUGGAGGAAACUGUGAUGCAGCCAUCCCGCGUGUGUGAAGAAGGCCCGAGGGUUGUAAAGCACUUUUAGUGAGGAGGAAAGGUUAGUAGUUAAUACCUGCUAGCUGUGACGUUACUCACAGAAAAAGCACCGGCUAACUCUGUGCCAGCAGCCGCGGUAAUACAGAGGGUGCAAGCGUUAUUUGGAAUUACUGGGCGUAAAGCGCGCGUAGGCGGAUUGUUAAGUCAGUUGUGAAAGMCCUGGGSUCAACCUAGGAACGGCGAUUGAAACUGGCAGUCUAGAGUUUUGUAGAGGGAAGGGGAAUUUYUGGAGUAGCAGUGAAAUAAGUAGAUAUCAGAAGGAACAUCASUGGCGAAGGAGCCUUCCUGGASUAAAACUGACGCUGAGGUGCGAAAGCAUAGGGAGCAAACGGGAUUAGAUACCCCSGUAGUMCACGCCCUCGACGAUUCAACUAGCUGUUGGUCUUACCAAAAAGAUCAGUAGCGCAGCUAACG
rnacentral:rRNA from 1 species